rnacentral:rRNA from 1 species
UACGGAGGGUGCGAGCGUUGUCCGGAAUCAUUGGGCGUAAAGGGCGCGUAGGUGGCCCGGUCAGUCUUUGGUGGAAGCGCGGGGCUCAACCCCAGGUCUGCCGUGCGAACUGCCAAGCUUGAGCAUAGUAGAGGCAGGUGGAUUUCGGGUGUAGCGGUGGAAUGCGUAGAUAUCCGAAAGAACACCGGUGGCGAAGGCGGCCUGCUGGGCUAUUGCUGACACUGAGGCGCGACAGCGUGGGGAGCAAACAGGG